UACGUAGGGGGCUAGCGUUGUCCGGAAUCAUUGGGCGUAAAGCGCGCGUAGGCGGCUUUGUAAGUUAGAGGUGAAAGCCCGGAGCUUAACUCCGGAACUGCCUUUAAGACUGCAUCGCUAGAAUUGUGGAGAGGUGAGUGGAAUUCCGAGUGUAGAGGUGAAAUUCGUAGAUAUUCGGAAGAACACCGGUGGCGAAGGCGACUCACUGGACACAUAUUUGACGCUGAGGUGCGAAAAGCGUGGGGAGCAAACAGG
rnacentral:rRNA from 1 species